UACGUAGGGUGCAAGCGUUAAUCGGAAUUACUGGGCGUAAAGCGUGCGCAGGCGGCUUUGUAAGCCAGAUGUGAAAUCCCCGGGCUUAACCUGGGAACUGCGUUUGAAACUACAAGGCUAGAGUGUGGCAGAGGGGGGUGGAAUUCCACGUGUAGCAGUGAAAUGCGUAGAGAUAUGGAGGAACACCGAUGGCGAAGGCAGCCCCCUGGGUUAACACUGACGCUCAGGCACGAAAGCGUGGGGAGCAAACAGG
rnacentral:rRNA from 1 species